rnacentral:rRNA from 1 species
CUACGGGGGGCAGCAGUGAGGAAUAUUGCGCAAUGGGGGAAACCCUGACGCAGCGACGCCGCGUGGAUGAUGAAGGCCUUCGGGUCGUAAAAUCCUGUCAGAAGGAAAGAAGUGUAUGGUAGCUAAUAUCUGCCAUAUUUGACGGUACCUUCAAAGGAAGCACCGGCUAACUCCGUGCCAGCAGCCGCGGUAAUACGGAGGGUGCAAGCGUUGUUCGGAAUUACUGGGCGUAAAGCGCGCGUAGGCGGUUUUAUAAGUCAGAUGUGAAAGUCCACGGCUCAACCAUGGAAGUGCAUUUGAAACUGUAAGACUUGAGUAUUGGAGGGGGUAGUGGAAUUCCCGGUGUAGAGGUGAAAUUCGUAGAUAUCGGGAGGAAUACCGGUGGCGAAGGCGACUACCUGGCCAAAUACUGACGCUGAGGUGCGAAAGCAUGGGGAGCAAACAGGAUUAGAUACCCCGGUAGUC